AUCUUUUUCUAUGCCACAUACAUAGCACGAUUGGAGGCUUUGGAAUUUGAGUCUCGGUGAAUCAAAGUUCUUUGGUCUUGUGAAUCCACGUGCAACUAAAAGGAGUGCUAACAGUGACUUUUGGUACGCUGUGUAUAUGCAGAAAAAGAUAUUAGACACCAAUUAAGCCGGGACGAAAGCCUAAUUGGAUUGCUUUCGUCUGACUAUGCGUGUUUUACAUUCAUACCAAAUUAAAUAAUUUAGCUAAAAUAUAUAGAAAGUUACCAGAUGAUGAGAAGGCCUUUUGAAAUAACAAUUUGCUUACUGAAAACUUAUACGUUAGACUUUUUAAAGCCAUGAAUACAACAGAGUUAAGUAAAUUCAUUGUUUGCUAUACCAAUUUUGAAAUUUAUUAUUAAUAUUAUUGUGUUUGCUGAUAUAUUUGCGGAUAUUCAAUUUUUAAAUGCAACGGGAAUUGACAACACCAACACAGUAAAAACUAAGUAGG